rnacentral:rRNA from 1 species
GAUGAACGCUGGCGGCGUGCCUAAUACAUGCCAGUCGAGCGAACGGACGAGAAGCUUGCUUCUCUGAUGUUAGCGGCGGACGGGUGAGUAACACGUGGAUAACCUACCUAUAAGACUGGGAUAACUUCGGGAAACCGGAGCUAAUACCGGAUAAUAUUUUGAACCGCAUGGUUCAAAAGUGAAAGACGGUCUUGCUGUCACUUAUAGAUGGAUCCGCGCUGCAUUAGCUAGUUGGUAAGGUAACGGCUUACCAAGGCAACGAUGCAUAGCCGACCUGAGAGGGUGAUCAGCCACACUGGAACUGGGACACGGUCCAGACUCCUACGGGAGGCAGCAGUAGGGAAUCUUCCGCAAUGGGCGAAAGCCUGACGGAGCAACGCCGCGUGAGUGAUGAAGGUCUUCGGAUCGUAAAACUCUGUUAUUAGGGAAGAACAUAUGUGUAAGUAACUGUGCACAUCUUGACGGUACCUAAUCAGAAAGCCACGGCUAACUACGUG